UGGGUGAGCUGUUUUUCUACUGUCCUAAAAGUUUUUCCCAAGUCUCUCUAGGGCCAGGAAAUUAACACAAAUUUGAUCUGAGAUGCUAAUGGAAACUUUCUGCUUGGGACCUGCCUACAGACCACCUUUCACACAUUGAAACUAACACACUUCUGCUACACACUCCUGCUAUAAUAAGAGCAGUAGGCAUUUGGGUAGAGCAAAGAAUUCUGUGGAAUAAGGGUGGGAGCAGUGGGGAUGAGGGGGUGGGGAGAUCAUCAAUACAUAACAUAUACAUAACAAGAGACAACAUGAAAGAAUGCAGAACCAGAGUCUGUUCCCAAUGUUUAAAGAGAACCUCCCCCAACUCCUUCUCAAGUCCUGACCAUAGGGAGCAGGUCCUCAUAGCUCACACCUAUUUUCUGGAGAGCACAAAGGCUGAGGGCAUCGUUCAGAUUCUGGUGACCUGCAACUAAUACAAUAUUUGUGGAAUAGGAAGUUCUGUCCUAACCCUGGAAACAAAAUAGAAUUGUAGUCUCCUAAGCAGGCAGUCACUGCCUCCAAACCUCUGCACCCAGAAUCUUGAAGGAGAAGCUUCCAAAUUUCACCAAGAUGGCUCAGCACGCCCGUAAUCCCAGAACUUUGGGAGGCUGAGGUGGGCAGAUCACUUGACGUCAGGAGUUUGAGACCAGCCUGACCAACAUGGUGAAACCCGGUCUCUAUUAAAAAUACAAAAUUAGCCCAGUGUUGUGGCAGGCACCUGUAAUCCCAGCUGUUCGGGAGGCUGAGGCAUGAGAAUCACUUGAACCCGGGAGGUGGAGGUUGCAGUGAGCCGAGAUCACGCCACUGCACUCCAGCCUGGGUGAGAGAGCGAAACCCUGUCAACAACAACAACAAAAAAACAGAUGGCUCAGCAAACUGAAAGUGGCUGCAUCUGAGAAAAAGGAAUCUUGGCACUGAGCAUGGGUGUGUGGGAGGAGGAGGGAUAGUGGUCAGGGCCUGAUUGUAUCUGCAGACUGUUACCUACACAGGUGGGAUUCGAUGACUAAGAACAUUUCCUAGAGUUUCUCCAGUGAGUUUUGGCUAUCUCUUGAGGCCCCUUUCCCUAGGUUUUGGAAUUUCACGUAAAACUGGGAACUUUGCCCCACCCUCCGACAUGUAAAGCUGGGAACUUUGCCCCACCCUCCAACAUCUUUUUCUAUGGGAAAAGAAAUCUCUGGCUAGGGGAAGUUAACCUUUAUUUUAAAGUAUGUGAACAAUCCCCAUCUCCUUGAAAGUCCUGAAGAGAAAUUCAGCAGAGUGGCAUUUUCCUGCUUUCUGAACACAUCACCUACCAAUUUACCCAGGGUGCUGCAGUGGAGGUGGCCAAAUAGCACCUGAGAUAAGAGAAAAGAAAUACAAUCCUACAAAGUUGAACAAACAAGUAUUAUUCCAGCCUCUCUCUCCUUCCCUAUCCUGCCCCUCUCCGACUCCCAAGAAUAAGUCACCAGAGUCCCCUAGAAGAUUCUUGAGUAUCUGCUCUUAAACAGCUCCUUUUCCAAGGAGGAACGAGGUCUGUUUUCUGAUGUUGGGGCCUCAGAUACUCUGUGAUUGCAACUUAAUUUUGUCAUUGCUUCUUUUCAAGAUUAUUUGGAAUGAAUUGUUUCUUUUGUUUACUAUCCAACAAACGACCUCUGCUAAUCUUGUAUUUUAUCUCCCUAACAUAUGGAAAAGCUAUUUAUUCUAGCCAAUCACAAUAAAGUGAAGAAAACCCCAUUUUAUGGAAAGAAGGGUAUUGACCACUGGGCACCGAGAUCCGUGCUUGAAAGGACCUGAUACAUGCAGAAAAGCAAGAUUUGCUAAAUGCUCUAAUCUUCAAUCAAAUCUUACAUCAAUACAGACAAAGUUUGGUAAUGAGAGAUUCAAUGAAGCAUGCGGGAGAAAGAAUUAAUCCUCUUGGUCUAAACUGGCUUCAACUUUGAAGCUUGCUCCGAAGGAAAGACAGUUAUCUAAAUGCUAAAUAAGAAACUUAUUGUACUUUUCAUGGCAUGCUAAUCUUUUGUCUAUUUCAUCUCUAUUAUGUGUAUGCUCAUAGAUUGCAGUUGUCAUGGUGAUGAUAUCUAGCCAUGCUCGGGGGAUGGUGGUGAGAAGCCGGCGCGGAGGUGGAAAAGACCCCCACGCAAUCCACAGUACAAAAAAAAAAAGGAGAGAGAGAGAGAGAGGGGAGAGGAGUGGGCGGGGACCAGACCCCUCCUGAGCUCUUCCCGCCAGGCCCAGGCUCCGCUCACGUCAGAGUCCUAAGGAGGAUUGGGCCUCCUGCACUUGGAACCGCGUGGUGAGGCGACCUCAGCGAGGCGAGCAGCAUUCGGUAGUGGUAGUGGAGAGGGAGUCGGGCAUCCGUCCCACCUCAAAUCCGUUUCCCCAUAAAGGUUUCCAGCUUUUAGUCCGUAGGCUCCUCCCUCCCCAUAGCGUCCCCUUCCCCCCACAGCGCUGCUGGGUAGAAAGGACUGUUGGAGAGGCGACCGAGAAGAAAGGGCUCGAACACUUCACUUGUGGACAGGUUAUGCCUGGCUGUGUCGGGGGCGGGAAGCAGAGAGGUUGGAGGAGGGGGCAAGGCUGAAAUCUCCAUGGAGGCCCUCUCCAAGGCCCACCACCUGUAGGCAAGAGGAGGCUUGGUCUCUGAUGAGGUCUCUUUAGCAAAAUUAAUGCCAACAGACCCUGAAGACCCUCUUCCCAAUGGCAUCUGCCGCUGGUCCAAAUCCCCUGGCCAGGCUUUCAGCCAGGGGCUAGUUUGGAUGAUCUGUUAGGGUGGCAUGGAUACCAGAAAUCCAAAAGCAAUAGAUAUUCAUAAACUCUUUCAUUAAAAAGUGAAGAGAUGUCUUUUGCUUUCUCCUCUCCCUUCCCUUCGAUCAGAUUUCUUAUACAGUCUUCUCUUUCUAGGCUGGAGUGAAAAGGACUGCCAGUAGCCUGAUAUAAUCUGCAUGUUUGCAUCUUAAUCAGCCUUAUAACAUCAUGCUUUCUUUCCUUCCCCCACCCCAGCAGAUGAUUUAAAUAAACUCAGGAGACAAGAAACGAAAUGAACACUCACUCCUUGCUCCUCCUGCUCGAAGCACUAGGACUAAGCCAGCUGGCUUUGCGUCUAACCUUGCAGGGCCUACCUUUUUCUUAGUCACUUAUCUUCUUUCUGUGUUUGUCAACCACUGCACACCAUCUUCUCUCAUGUACAUCUUUUUUCCAAGGGAAGGAAUGCACUAUUCAGGCACCCCAGAGCUAUUGGCACGAUGUUGCCCUUGCAGCCCAAUAAGAGAACAGCAAAGUUCAGGAAAUCAGAGGUAGGUUGGUUAUCCGUUCCUAUUUAAUAUGCUUAAGGCUUACCACAGUUAGGAUUUCCUAACGUUUUAAAAACCAGUGUUCAUAUACAUAAUCAGUGUGAUUUUCCUUAGAAAUAGAAUUAUCUACCAUGUAUUCUCCCAUUACAAAACUACUAAAGACAGAAAAAAAGAGAAAGGUAGAAAAUGUGAGACAUUAUAAAUUAAUUCCUAGUAUCCAAAACUAUUUCCUAGGUUUGUUUUUUAAUUAAAUCACUUCUAAACCCCAGGAGAGAACAGAAUUUCACUAUUAUCAAAUAAAUAAAAUCAUCAACAUUACUAUUUUGCUGGCAGCAUCCUCGCCCUUUGCCCCAACACCUCUUGGUGUUACAAUCCUAACUGCAAACUCCGUACAACGAUAAAUGAUCUGUACUUAUGUC
rnacentral:lncRNA from 1 species